rnacentral:misc_RNA from 1 species
UAUGAAGAACGCAGCGAAAUGCGAUAAGUAAUGUGAAUUGCAGAAUUCAGUGAAUCAUCGAAUCUUUGAACGCACAUUGCGCCCCUUGGUAUUCCGAGGGGCAUGCCUGUUCGAGCGUCAUUACACCACUCAAGCUAUGCUUGGUAUUGGGCGUCGUCCUUAGUUGGGCGCGCCUUAAAGACCUCGGCGAGGCCACUCCGGCUUUAGGCGUAGUAGAAUUUAUUCGAACGUCUGUCAAAGGAGAGGAACUCUGCCGACUGAAACCUUUAUUUUUCUAGGUUGACCUCGGAUCAGGUAGGGAUACCCGCUGAACUUAAGCAUAUCAAUAAGCGGAGGA